CUCCUCUGACGUUAGCGGCGGACGGGUGAGUAACACGUGGGUGAUCCGCCCUGCACUUCGGGAUAAGCUUGGGAAACUGGGUCUAAUACCGGAUAGGAGCCAUCUUUAGUGUGGUGGUUGGAAAGUUUUUCGGUGUAGGAUGAGCUCGCGGCCUAUCAGCUUGUUGGUGGGGUAAUGGCCUACCAAGGCGGCGACGGGUAGCCGGCCUGAGAGGGUGUACGGCCACAUUGGGACUGAGAUACGGCCCAG
rnacentral:rRNA from 1 species